UUUGGGUACGACGGCGUGUCUGAGGCUCGCUGCAGACCUGAAGCUUGAUAUCGAAUUCGCGUGUCGCCCUUAGAGUUUGAUCCUGGCUCAGGACGAACGCUGGCGGCGUGCUUAACACAUGCAAGUCGAACGAUGAAGCCCUUCGGGGUGGAUUAGUGGCGAACGGGUGAGUAACACGUGGGCAAUCUGCCCUGCACUCUGGGACAAGCCCUGGAAACGGGGUCUAAUACCGGAUAUGACCGUCUUGGGCAUCCUUGAUGGUGUAAAGCUCCGGCGGUGCAGGAUGAGCCCGCGGCCUAUCAGCUUGUUGGUGAGGUAAUGGCUCACCAAGGCGACGACGGGUAGCCGGCCUGAGAGGGCGACCGGCCACACUGGGACUGAGACACGGCCCAGACUCCUACGGGAGGCAGCAGUGGGGAAUAUUGCACAAUGGGCGAAAGCCUGAUGCAGCGACGCCGCGUGAGGGAUGACGGCCUUCGGGUUGUAAACCUCUUUCAGCAGGGAAGAAGCGAGAGUGACGGUACCUGCAGAAGAAGCGCCGGCUAACUACGUGCCAGCAGCCGCGGUAAUACGUAGGGCGCAAGCGUUGUCCGGAAUUAUUGGGCGUAAAGAGCUCGUAGGCGGCUUGUCACGUCGGUUGUGAAAGCCCGGGGCUUAACCCCGGGUCUGCAGUCGAUACGGGCAGGCUAGAGUUCGGUAGGGGAGAUCGGAAUUCCUGGUGUAGCGGUGAAAUGCGCAGAUAUCAGGAGGAACACCGGUGGCGAAGGCGGAUCUCUGGGCCGAUACUGACGCUGAGGAGCGAAAGCGUGGGGAGCGAACAGGAUUAGAUACCCUGGUAGUCCACGCCGUAAACGGUGGGCACUAGGUGUGGGCAACAUUCCACGUUGUCCGUGCCGCAGCUAACGCAUUAAGUGCCCCGCCUGGGGAGUACGGCCGCAAGGCUAAACUCAAAGGAAUUGACGGGGGCCCGCACAAGCGGCGGAGCAUGUGGCUUAAUUCGA
rnacentral:rRNA from 1 species